rnacentral:rRNA from 1 species
GACGAACGCUGGCGGCGUGCCUAACACAUGCAAGUCGAGCGAUGAAGCUUCUUCGGAAGUGGAUUAGCGGCGGACGGGUGAGUAACACGUGGGCAACCUACCUCAUAGUGGGGAAUAGCCUCUCGAAAGGGAGAUUAAUACCGCAUAAGAUCGUAGUUUCGCAUGAAACAGCGAUAAAAGGAGCAAUCCGCUAUGAGAUGGGCCCGCGGCGCAUUAGCUAGUUGGUGAGGUAACGGCGUCACCAAGGCGACGAUGCGUAGCCGACCUGAGAGGGUGAUCGGCCACAUUGGGACUGAGACACGGCCCAGACUCCUACGGGAGGCAGCAGUGGGGAAUAUUGCACAAUGGGGGAAACCCUGAUGCAGCAACGCCGCGUGAGUGAUGACGGCCU